UUGGAGGGCAAGUCUGGUGCCAGCAGCCGCGGUAAUUCCAGCUCCAAUAGCGUAUAUUAAAGUUGUUGCAGUUAAAAAGCUCGUAGUUGAAUUUCGGGAUCAGAUUGUCGGUCGUGCCUCGGUACGCACUGGCAUUAUUGGUUCCUACCUUCUGAAGAACCGCGAUGUCAUUAAUUUGGUGUCGUAGGGAAUCAGGACUGUUACUUUGAAAAAAUUAGAGUGUUUAAAGCAGGCUUACGCUUGAAUACAUUAGCAUGGAAUAAUGAAAUAGGACGUUUGAUUCUAUUUUGUUGGUUUCUAGGAUUGACGUAAUGAUUAAUAGGGAUAGUUGGGGGCAUUAGUAUUCAAUUGUCAGAGGUGAAAUUCUUGGAUUUAUUGAAGACUAACUACUGCGAAAGCAUUUGCCAAGGAUGUUUUCAUUAAUCAAGAACGAAAGUUAGGGGAUCGAAGACGAUCAGAUACCGUCGUAGUCUUAACCAUAAACUAUGCCGACUAGGGAUCGGAUGAUGUUAAUUUUUUAAUGACUCAUUCGGCGCCUUACGGGAAAC
rnacentral:rRNA from 1 species